GCCUCGCGGCGGGGGAAACCCGAGCUCCCAACAAAACAGUUCCAUCUUUGGCUAGGCCUGUGGUAUUUCCAGGCGCUGCCGGUGGGGAGAGAUGCCGCGUGCCUGAGAGGCUCUGGGAGGUCGCCGCGGCUUUCGCUUCCCGGGUUUUACAUUUCCGAAGGGGCUGAGCGUCUGCAGAGGAACCCGAGCUGAUGCUGGGGCUGGGGCCGGGGCGGGAAUCUAACGAAUGCACCUCCGGGGAGGCUGGAGGGAGCGUGGCUCAUCCUCCUCCCAGGAUGGGUCCUUCAGCGCGCUUUCCUUCUUUUUUCCUUUUUGCAGAUGUUAUGUGGUCAACAGGGACUGAGACUCUUUAAGCCCUUACAUCUCUAAGGGCUAAAUCUCCUUCCUGAUGUUCCUCCCUCCUCCAAAGCGGUAACAGUUUUCACGUGAUUCAGUUGCCUCUACCUGCCUGAAGGACUGGAGUGCAAAGUUGAACUUGACUCCGGCACCAAAGAAGGCCAGGAGAGGUUUAACAACUUCUUCAGAAUCACACAGCUUGCACAUGGUUGGGCUGGGUUUACGUUUAGGCGGUCUUGCUCCAGAGUCAGUGCUCCUAACCAUUGCAAACAACAAAUCUCAACAAAGUGGAGAAGGAAACGCUGGGAAAUUUGGAAGUCAGACAUGGCAGAGAGCUAAUGCUGGCAGCUAUUGGGAUGUCCUCUUCCAGGACUGGUGAUGAGUUUCCUGGUAUCCAGCCUUGGCCGGACUGAGGUUGUUCACUGUGCACUUGUUUUUGGAGCACUGAGCUGCUGUGUAAGAAGUCCAACUGCCCUGAGGCCACCAGGCUGGAGAGACCAUGAAUGGAUAGGUUCUCUGAUCAACAGUCCCCAUCAAGCCCAGCCUUCUAGCCGUGUCCACCAAUGUGCCUGACAUGUGAGUGAAGCCAUCACAGACCCUUCAGACCAGCCCAUCUGCCAGCUGAAUACUUGUGAAUAACCUUGGUUGAUGCUUUUUGAUCUCUCAGCCAAGCCCUGCCUGAAUUUCCGACUCACACGUUCAGGUGAUUUAUUAUCCGGCGAUAGAUAACUAGAACACUGGACAUAAAUGGAAGAAGCUUUGCGGUCAGCUUUUAAUAAGUUUAGGCUGAUUUCAUGUGAUUUACCCCAUCCAUCUGCCCCUGCUGGUGAUAAUUCCAUCUUGUUCAAAACUUGGAUCGAGUUACCUCUUAACUGAGCCAAAACUUUACCUGGGUUUACCGACAGCUCCCUGAGCCUUGACAACACUUUCAAGUUUCCCAGCUAUGGUUUGGUUGUCAGUAAAAUUUCACAUCCAGCCACACACUCACACUUACCCCAACACAAUAGCUGCAUGUUACCUUAAUCCAAAUGAUUUGCAAAAAUUGCCAAAAGUUGGGACUGUGCUUGUAAAAGCUGUUUUCUAUGGAUCUGGAUAAACAAUGUACAGCUAACACUUUCUCAGCAACUCCACGUACCAGAAAGGGUAGCUUCCUAUUUCUUGGCUUGCACUUCAGGCCCACGUGGAGUGUAAGAUUUCUACUUGGGGCCAGAUGCUGUGGCUCAUGUCUAUAAUCCCAACACUUUGGGAGGCCG